rnacentral:rRNA from 1 species
CCUACGGGGUGCUGCAGUGAGGAAUAUUGCUCAAUGGGCUUACGCCUGAACCAGCCAAGUCGCGUGAGGGAUGACUACUCUAUGGUUGUUAAACCUCUUUUGUCAGGGAGCAACUCCCGCUACGUGUAGCCUGACUGAGAGUAACUUAAGAAAAAGCAUCGGCUAACUCCCUGCCAGCAGCCGCGGUAAUACGGAGGAUGAGGGCGUUAUCCGGAUUUGUUGGGUUUACAGGCCACGAAGGCGGAUAGCCAAGUCAGCGUGAAAAUCGCGGGUCUAAACCUAGAUCCGCAGUUGAAACUGGCGUUCUAGAGUAUGCGAGAAGUAUGUGGAAUGCGUGGUGUAGGGGUGAAAUGCAUAGAGAUCAUGAAGAAUACUGAUUGCGAAGGCAGCAUACCGGAGCCCAACUGACGCUGACGCACGAAAGCGUGGGGAUCGAACAGGAUUAGAUACCCUUGUAGUC